AGGAGUUUAAAUCCCAGCUAGAAGCAGUUUACAAUAAUAGAAGGCAUUCGAAUGCGCAGCUAGAAAAGAAAAGGGUUUGGAAUUCAGUUAAAGGAAGAGGUUCAUGUUAUGAGGAAUCUUAAGAAAGAGAAGAUAUUAAUGUUUUGUGGAACGUUCAAAAGUUAGAUGAAAAACUCAUGCUGUUACUUAUGAUGUUCAGGGAGAUAUCAU
rnacentral:misc_RNA from 1 species